rnacentral:lncRNA from 1 species
CCCCUUAGGAGCAGGGUUCCGUUUAAGGUUUCUUCCUGUUAAAAGGGAGGUUCUCUAGGGGGCUCAGGCUCUGGGCUCUGUAAAGGGCUUUGAGAUUAUUUUAUUUAUUUAUUAUUUUAAUUGUUCUUGGCACUAUAUAGAUAAAUCAAAUUGAAUUAAGAAAAUAAAGAAUAAAGAAAAUUGAAAUACUAAUGAAUUUAACAUGAAGUGUGUGCAUUGCAGAACAGUACCAUCAGUGUGUGCAUUGCAGAACCAUCAGUGUGUUCCGUGCAGUACCAUCAGUGUGUGCCGUACAGUACCAUCAGUACCAUCAGUGUGUUCCGUACAGAACCAUCAGUACCAUCAGUGUGUGCAGAACCAUCAGUGUGUGCCGUACAGUACCAUCAGUGUGUGCCGUGCAGAACCAUCAGUACCAUCAGUGUGUGCCGUACAGAACCAUCAGUGUGUGCCGUACAGAACCAUCAGAACCAUCAGUGUGUGCCGUACAGAACCAUCAGUGCAAGGACAGGCAGAAAGGCAGCAGACUCAAAGGGACUGUGGGAUGGAUGAAUGAGUGAGUGAGUGAAUGGGUAGAUGAAUGAAUGAGUAAAUGAAUUGAUUAAUGGACAAAUGGAUGAAUCAGUGCAUGAAUGACAUAAUAAUGAACAAAUUAAUGAAUUCAAGAGGGGAAAAGUUCACUUUAAGUUCACAGUUACAUAAUGCUGUUUUAAGUGUAGGCUAACCCAUAUCAUGAUUGGAAAAGUGAGAGAGAAUAGGAGAAAUAGAAGAGAGGGAGUGUGGGUCUGUGUAAUGUGCUUGCUCUCUCCCUCUCUCUCUCCAUCUCUCUCUCCCUCUCUCUCUCUCUCUCUCCCUCCCUCUCUCUCUCUCUCUCUCUCUCUCUCUCUCUCUCUCUCUGUGUGUGUGUGUUUGUGCGUGCGCGUGUGUGACUGAGAGGCUGAGGGUUUCCGUAAUGUGCUAUUUUGUGACGUGUGGGAACAUCAGUGGGCCAGGUGCUCCAUUAUCAUACCUCUCCUCCCUGCCCUGCCCUGCUUCUCUCUCUCCCUGUCUGUGAGGUCUGCCCCCGGCUCCCCAGGAAGCCCCCUGUGUGUGUGUGUGUGUGUGUGUGUGUGUGUGUGUGUGUGUGUGUGUUUGAGUGUGUGUGUGUGUGGGGGUGUGCGGGUGUGUGUGUGUGUGUGUGUGUGUGUGGAUGUGUGCGUGUUUGUUUGAGUGUGUAUGUGUUUGUGUGUGUGUGUGUGUGUGUGUGUUUGUGCGCGUGUGUGUGUGUGUGUAUAUGUGUUUGUGUG